rnacentral:rRNA from 1 species
UACGGGGGGGGGCAAGCGUUGUUCGGAAUUACUGGGCGUAAAGGGCUCGUAGGCGGCCAACUAAGUCAGACGUGAAAUCCCUCGGCUUAACCGGGGAACUGCGUCUGAUACUGGAUGGCUUGAAUCCGGGAGAGGGAUGCGGAAUUCCAGGUGUAGCGGUGAAAUGCGUAGAUAUCUGGAGGAACACCGGUGGCGAAGGCGGCAUCCUGGACCGGCAUUGACGCUGAGGAGCGAAAGCUAGGGGAGCAAAGCGGG